GAAGAGGAUAAGGAAGGAGAAAAAUAGAAAAGGGAAGGGACAACGUGGGCCCGACAAAAAAAACGUGCCGAUGCAGGGAGGUAGCGCAUGCCAGCGAGGACCCGCGUGGCGAAGCAGCGUGCGACCGGCGCAAACUCGGCCGGCGCACCGUUGCCAAACGUUUCCCAUAAACAAAGCAUAUAUUCAUAAUAUCACAAGCAGAAGCAUCCAACAAGCUCCUACAACCCAUGUAGAGCAAAGUGGUGAAGCCACCAACUGUUAUGCUACACAUAGCAAAGAAAACAUACGGUCCAACACACCUUGACACGUAAACAUAGUGAUCAUGGAAACCAACCAAGGCAAAGUUUAUACACCACAAGUAGAUCCUAGCUACCAAGAAUCAUGAACUAAAUAUGAGAGUUAUCAUGAUCGGCUAGGUGGAUGGAAGGGGUGUGAAAUGUGUGAGUGAACACCCAUGGGAGCUACGCCCUUCCUAAUACUUGCAAAGCCUCACGGUGAUGUACCUGAAACAAAGUCCACGAGGGGUGAGUCCAAAGACUCAGCGAGUACACAACAAAGCAUGUAAUAAAAUGGCAAGUAAUACCAUGAAUAUGAACCAUGCUUGAUCAAGUAAAUACUAUAAUCGAAUCUUCCAUGCUUGGAAUGGCAUGAGAAAACAUGAAGAAAAGAUGCAACCAAGUAAGACCGAGGACUAGGCUCUGAGCUUUUGCCGGCAAGCUGAGGAGGGGCGACGUCUCACCUCACUCCUUUUCAACCCUCACCAAGUGAGAGGACCAUAACAUGAGGACGGACCCGAAGGACCAUACACUCGCGAAGCGAGGAUCACUCCUUGAACUUGGAAGAUUCACUCAUGAUGGAUUUGUUAUCAAGAACCAAGAAAACCAAUCCCUAUCACAUACCAGUGGUAUGGUGUAUUGAAAUGUACACUAGGGAAUUAUAUGUUCACCAUUGCAUGAAUGUACAGGAAUAACGUGAACAUGGACAUAAUAUUAAGGGAGCAAUCUAGGUCUUGUUGCCCGGUGUACUCGCCUCAACCGUUGCGAGGGAGGUGGCGCGAGGCUAUCUCCGGUGGAUUUGUGCUGCAACCUGCUGUAGAGACAUAAGUACAAGUUUUAAAGAUUGAAUCAAAGCAGGCUAUGUAAAGCACACACAAAAACGCGCCUAAUCGCAUUCCCGGGAAGCAACCCUUUGCUGUCCCUUCACGGAAAAAAUCAUAGCUCAUCAAGCUAGGAAGCUCUAAAACAUGCAAACGAGAUGGCUAUGGAUUCAUGGGGAACUCAUCUACAAAUAACUCCAACUAUUCAACCUCAGAUUAUGAGGUUACGGGUGUCAAAACCAGCAAAAACAUCUCUGCUGUUUUCAGAUUUAGGAAUAAUGAGUAGCCGCCUUUGGAAAUCCAUAGCAACACCAAUACUCAUGGGGAGUAAGUAAAUAAAAUUGAUCUAUGAACUAAAAGGUAUCAGGUAGCUAUACAAUUGUAUAGCAUCAAUUUAUCAGCCCUCGAAGAUCCUGAAAAGCUAUGGGCAAAAACAACAGAAAUGCUGUUUUGCAGAAACAGAGCAGCAACUUUUUUUUAUCGCCCCGCCUAAACGGCUGAACCAAAUUGAGUGAAUGACCACUCAAAACGAUUGUGGGAACAAUACCUACAAAACAUACCACAUGACCCCCACCUAAUUUUGCCAUAUAGGAACUCGAAAUUGCUGGUUUCCAGAUCUGAACGCCCAGAAACAGCAGCAUGAACAACUUUUUCCCCAAUUCCUUCACAUAGGUUUCUAGUCCUAACCCUAUACUCCAUGAAUCAUCACUAAUAGAGGAUGAGAGAUAAUAAAUGAUGGAGAACCUCACCUCUAUGGUCAAAUCACAAAGAUUUGGUUAAGGGAAAAGUUGGGGAAGCUUUCUUGUUCUCCCUCGUCUCCUUUCCUUCUUCCUCAAAGCCCUAAAUCAAAGGGCAGCCAUGGAGGUGGUGAAGGGCGUGGUGCAGCAAGGAGGCACCUGGGGAGGAGUGGGGAAGGAAGGGAGGAGGGAGUAGGCUGGCUGGAGAAGAGAGGAGAAAGGGAUUCUUCCCUUCGGCUUGGGGAAGAGAAGAAAGAUGUGGAGCACGCCUCCUAUGGACAAGGAGAGCUCACAUUGUGAGGGAGAGGUAAGAGAUAAGGUUCAGUUUUUUUUUCUAUUUCCUGAAUUAGAGAAUAUUUUGAAAUUCCCUAAUAAUAUAAGCCAUGGUAUUGAAAUAAAUCAUAGGAGAUGAACCCGGAGUCCGACUCAAGGAAAUAGGUAAGGCAUUUCGACUAUCUCGGCGAGCCCGGCGCAGCUAAAGAGUCUGAAAGCACGAUUUAUGGAAAAAUCGAUUAUUGGAAACCGGGGGUGUUACAGUCUCACCACCUUAACUAGAACUCGCCCACGAGUUCUCUCCUUAAACUACCGGGAAAGCUUCAUACAUGGCAUAGAACAUAACGGGAAAGAAUUUUAAUGGUUAGAACGUACCAUCAGAGAACAAUUCUGGGUACUUUUCGCGCAUUUGGGACUCUCGUUCCUCGGUUGCUUCUUGUUCUGUUUGAUUUGUCCAAAGAAUCUUCACAUACUUGAGCUUUCGGUGCCUCAAGGCACGCUCAGACUCGUCAAGAAUCUUCAAUGGACGGGACUCAAGUGUAAGAUCUUGCGCAAUGGUGACCGGUUCGGUAAGAACAAGAAGUUCAGAGUCUUCAAGAUACUUCCGAAGCAUGGAAACAUGGAAAACAUCGUGCACUCCACGCAUUGAUUGUGGCAAAUCUAUGCGGUAGGCAAGCUUCCCGACUCGAGCAACCACAAGAAACGGCCCGACAUACCGAGGACUAAGCUUGCCUUUUGUGCCAAAUAUCACAAUUCCUUUGGUUGGCGACACUUUAAGAAGCACUUUGUCACCCACUUGAAAUUCUAGAGCUCGCCGUCUGACAUCAGCAUAGCUCUUUUGUCUACUUUGCGCUGUAAGCAUGUUUUGACGAAUCUCUGCGACACGAUCAACAGUUUGUUGAACCCAAUCCGGUCCAAGAACUGCCCGCUCACCCACUGAAUCCCAACAGAGAGGUGACCUACACCUUCGACCAUAAAGGACUUCAAAGGGUGCAGCCUUGAUAGUUGCAUGAUAACUGUUGUUAUAAGCGAAUUCCUCAAGAGGCAAGUGGUCUUCCCAUGUACCUUGCCAUGACAGGGCACAUGUGUGAAGCAAGUCUUCGAGAGUUUGAAUGGUACGCUCGGACUGACCAUCAGUCUGAGGGUGAAAAGCUGUGCUGAACCGGAUCUCAGUACCCAAGGCAUUUUGUAAGCUCUCCCAGAAUUUGGAGGUGAACUAUGCAUCACGAUUAGAGAUGAUCGUUUUAGGCACACCAUGAAGACGAAUGAUCUCACGUGUAUAUAUUGGAGCUAAUUGACUAGCUGAGUUUGUGGUACAAAUUGGAAUGAAGUGUGCCGACUUGCUGAGACGAUCCACCACAACCCAAAUGGCAUCCUUACCUCUUGGGGUGCGUGGCAAGCCAAUGACAAAGUCCAUGGUGAUAUCUUCCCAUGGCCAUUGCGGGGCCUCCAAAGGUUGAAGCUUCCCACCAGGGCUUUUGUGUUCGGCUUUGACUCGUUGGCAAACACCACAUGAAGCCACAUACUUAGACACAUCUACUUUCAUCCGCUUCCACCAGAAGUUUUGCUUUAGAUCAUGGUACAUCUGGGUCUCACCGGGAUGAACUGUGUAAGGGGUGCGAUGAGCUUCUUUGAGGAUAUCAUCUUUCACCUAAGACCUCUGCGGAACGCAAAGGCGACCUUGAAAUCGGACAACUCUAGUUCCAUCAAUGGUGAAUGGACCUACCCUUCCUUCACGAACGCGCUUAGCGGCUUGCAUUAGCAAACGAUCUCGUUCUUGUGCUCGUCUAAUGCGCUCCACAAUGUCAGACACAAUGGAUAAUUGGAUUUCCGUUUGUGCUGCACCCGCAUAACAAAAAGAAAUAUCCAUUCUCUCUAGCUCGGAUGAGAGGGUUGCCACAGUAGGAGCAACUACCUUGCGGCUUAGGGCAUCAGCCACCACAUUAGCUCGGCCGGGUUUGUAGUGGAUGGUGAGAUCAUAAUCCUUUAUCAGUUCCAAGCACCUUCUCUGUCUUAGAUUCAACUCUUUCUGAGUAAAGAUGUACUUCAGACUUUUGUGAUCCGUAUACAUGUCACAACCCUCUCCAUAGAGAAGAUGCCUCCAGAUUUUGAGAGCAUGAACGAUUGCUGCCAAUUCUAGAUCAUGGGUUGUGUAAUUCUGCUCAUGUGGCUUCAACUGUCGCGAUGCAUAGGCAAUAACCUUGUCGUCCUUGAUGAGCACACAUCCGAGUCCAAGUUGGGAUGCAUCUGAAUAUACCGCAAAACGCUUACCUGGUUCAGGUAGCGACAAGAUCGGGGUAGUCACCAAUCGCUCCUUGAGAUGACAGAAACUCUUCUCACAAUCCUCAUCCCAAUGGAAUUUGGAGUUGACUUGUGUCGGCUUGGUCAUUGGUUUGGCAAUGGUAGAAAAGUUCUUUACAAACUGUUGAUAAUACCCGGCGAAGCCCAGGAAACUCCUUACUUCCUUAACAUUGGUUGGCCUUGCCCAAUUAACAACGGUGGAGAUCUUGCUCGGGUCAACAGAUAUGCCAUGUUGAUUGAUUAUGUGGCCUAGAAAGCCAACUUCUGAAAGCCAGAACUCACAUUUCUUCAACUUGGCAUAGAAUUUGUGUUGCCGCACGGUUUCAAGCACUAUUCUGAGAUGUCGAGCAUGAUCUUCCUCUGUCUUGGAAUAAAUAACAAUGUCAUCAAUGAAUAUGACCACAAAGUUGUCCAGAUAAGGGUGAAGCAUACUAUUCAUUGUCUCCAUGAAACACGCUGGGGCAUUGGUCAGACCAAAGGACAUGACCUUACACUCAUAAUGCCCAUACCUAGUGGAGAAAGCAGUCUUCUUGAUAUCUUGCUCUCGAACUCGAAUCUGAUUAUAACCAGAUUGCAGGUCGAUCUUAGAGAAAACCUUCGCUCCCUUCAAUUGAUCAAAAAGGUCCUCGAUACGAGGAAGUGGAUACUUGUUCUUUAUAGUCACCCGAUUGAGGGCACGGUAAUCAAUACACAUGCGCCAGCUGCCAUCUUUCUUAGCAACGAAGAGUACGGGUGCACCCCAUUCGGAAACACUCUUCCGAAUAAGUCCUUUAGAGAGAAGGUCAUCUAUUUGCUUCUUGAGCUCUUCCUGGAAGAGCCGAGCCAAACGAUAUGGUGCUAUAAAAAUAGGUUGAGUGCCAGGAAUCAAUUCAAUGCAGAACUCAGUGUCUCGCUCUGGAGGCAUGCCUGGGAGCUCAUCCGGGAAGACAUCAGGAUAGUCACACAUUACUACUAUAUUUUGGAGGCACAGUGGGGUACUUGGUUUUCCAAGAAGAGUCCACAAUAUCCCACUCUUCGGGGAUGGCUGGCCUGGAAAGAGACUGGCCAACGUUGACAAAGAUGGUGGAGGUGCACUAGCUUGGUAGACACACUCCUUCCCCUGAGGGGGAGUCAAGGGUGAUAAUUCUCCAAAAGCAAGAGAUCACUGCUCUAUAAGCUUGUAGCCAAUCCAUACCAAGAAUUACAUCAAAAGGCUAAAGUGGAAGGAUGAACAGAUUCGCAGUGAAAUCUUCAUCCUCAAUAGAAAUAUCACAGCCAGGACACACAGUGCUACAAGAAAGGAGUCCCCCUGGAGAACUAACCCUCACUGGUUGGGAAAUUUCUUGCCUAGACAUGUUUGCCCGAUUCGCAAAGUCUACCGAUACAUAUGAGAAACUGGAACCAGAAUCAAAUAGUACUAGAGCUUCAACUGAGUUGACAGGUAGAGUACCUAUCACGACAUCCGGACGUCCAGCAGUAGAUGAUGAAGGCAGGGUAUGAAAGCUCUGACAAGCUAGUGCAGGUGGAGCGCCAAUCUGGGGCACGAUUGGAGGAGCAUUGGGUACUGGGUAGUUAGUGGCGUUGUGUGAGUUGGUGGCCAAUAGUACCCUUGAGGAGGAGGACCCCAAGUUGCAUAUUGAUAUGGAGGAGCUUGAAUAUUCUUCAUUGCUUGGACAGACCCAUGUGAGGACAUGGGCAUUGAUGAGGACUCCGGUUGGGAAGACACAGUCUGCCACUUGAUUAUGCUAGCAGGGUUCAACUUACAAACCCGUUCAAUGUGACCAGUUUUGUGACAGCCAUUGCACACACCGGUCCAAUUGCACUCAUUAGCUCUAUGGCCUUCGCCACACUUGAAGCACAUCAUCCCUUGACCAGGCAUUGGACUAUGAUGCACAAGUGGGCCAGUAGAGGAUGAGGCCUUCUGCGACCUCUUCUUGAAGGGCUGAGGGGUAGACUGGAUAUUCUUAAACUUCUUCAUGGGGCGAUGGUUAGACUUGUCGUUGCCACCAUAGUCCCGCUUUUGGUUGGCACCCGCAGUAGAGAAAUUACUGGGGCCACCGGGUGGGGAAGAUAUCAUUGGAGGAGGUGAGCCAUUCUGCAGCUCAAACUCUAUCUUUUUGGCUUUCUCAACCAAGGAAGCAAAGCUACAGGACCCAGCAGCGCUGAGCACAACACAAUACUACUGCUCUAGCCCAUCCUUAAACCUCCUUGCCUUCUCUUUAUCAUUAUUAACCACUGUUGGCACAAAGCGGAUGAUAUCGUUGAACUCGGUUUCAUAAUCCUGAAUUGUUUUGUUUCCUUGCCUUAACUUGCUUAGUGCAUUCUCCAUCCUCUCUACAUAGGAAGCCGGAUAGUACUUCUCAACGAAUUGAGUUCGAAAGAACUCCCAAGUAGGUGUGGCAUGCUCUGGUGGUAAAGAGGAACGAACAUUCUCCCACCAGAUGUCUGCAUUGCCCUUUAGCUGAAUAGUAGCAAACAUCACCUUCUGGGCUGGUUGCACUAGCAUGACCUCAAGGCGUCGUUCCAUGAUGCGCAACCAAUCAGCUGCCACUACAAGAGUCCCAGUCCCAUUAAAAGUGUCAGAGUGUACCAUAGACCAUGUGAGAAGAGGAUUAACUUGUCUUGAGCCAAAUGGCUCAUUCAUCAUGCCCUGAGCAUUGGCAGGUGCAGGAGUUGUGGCUUGGGCUUGGGCUUGCUGACGAAGUGUGUGGAGUUCUUGCAUCAACUCACGCCACUCAACUUGAGGUGGCGGAGCAACAUCAUCAGCUGCCACUGAUCCCUCACCACUCUCCUCAGCUAUAGGUUGGGCACUCCUGCGUCCACGACCUCGGGGUUUAGCACCAGCAGUUGUUUUUCCCCGAGUGGGUGGAACUUGCUUUCUACCAGCUUUACCCCUAGGCAUCUAAGGAACACAAGAAGAUUACCCAGUUAACCAAAGAAAUAAAAAGGUAGAAUAUGGACGGGCAAAGAUACAAGCUCAUACUUGACACUGGAUUCAUUGAAAUAUAAACCCAAGAGACCCAGAAACGAGUAGUACUCGAACACCAGACUACUUAAUAUGCAUUAGAAAACACAAGCAAUCUAUGCACAUAGAACAAGGCUUGCAAGUAUCUAACUAAAGAGAUCGUUCCUAUUGUGCACCAGUGUGUCAUGUUUUUUUUAACCAUCUAAUCAAGUUUUUUUUUAUUUAGAAAGAACCUAACAACAUACUAGUAAGAGAAUUGGGGUAUUUCACCCAAUCUCAACAGAAUUGACGCCCUCGUCAAUUUUGUUUUACACUAACAAACAAACAAUUAUAUCUAGCAAGCAAGCAUUUGAAAGGUCCUAGGAUCUUUCUUUGGUAUAUAUGCUUACGCAUGUAUAGCAAAGAUAGAGCUUAACUGAUACCAACUAUAACACCCCUCCUUGCAGGAAGGAAUGUUACCACCAAGAAUGUAAACAAACCAAACAUGCUCGUGAGAAAAUCCGGCAGCACUUCCUUUGUACCGUCAGACAUCCACGACAGGCAAAUGAAUAAACAGAGCAUAUAUUCAUAAUAUCACAAGCAGAAGCAUCCAACAAGCUCCUACAACCCAUGUAGAGCAAAGUGGUGAAGCCACCAACUGUUAUGCUACACAUAGCAAUGAAAACAUACGUUCCAACACACCAUGGUGCAAGGUGGGGACUAGUCAACUCCAACCCACCUUGACAGGUAAACAUAGUGAUCAUGGAAACCAACCAAGGCAAAGUUUAUACACCACAAGUAGAUCCUAGCUACCAAGAAUCAUGAACUAAAUAUGAGAGUUAUCAUGAUCGGCUAGGUGGAUGGAAGGGGUGUGAAAUGUGUGAGUGAACACCCAUGGGAGCUACGCCCUUCCUAAUACUUACAAAGCCUCACGGUGAUGUACCUGAAACAAAGUCCACGAGGGGUGAGUCCAAAGACUCAGCGAGUACACAACAAAGCAUGUAAUAAAAUGGCAAGUAAUACCAUGAAUAUGAGCCAUGCUUGAUCAAGUAAAUACUAUACUCGAAUCUUCCAUGCUUGGAAUGGCAUGAGAAAACAUGAAGAGAAGAUGCAACCAAGUAAGACCGAGGACUAGGCUCUGAGCUUUUGCCGGCAAGCUGAGGAGGGGCGACGUCUCACCUCACUCCUUUUCAACCCUCACCAAGUGAGAGGACCAUAACAUGAGGACGGACCCGAAGGACCAUACACUCGCGAAGCGAGGAUCACUCCUUGAACUUGGAAGAUUCACUCAAGAUGGAUUUGUUAUCAAGAACCAAGAAAAACCAAUCCCUAUCACAUACCAGUGGUAUGGUGUAUUGAAAUGUACACUAGGGAGUUAUAUGUUCACCAUUGCAUGAAUGUACAGGAAUAACGUGAACAUGGACAUAAUAUUAAGGGAGCAAUCUAGGUCUUGUUGCCCGGUGUACUCGCCUCAACCGUUGCGAGGGAGGUGGCGCGAGGCUAUCUCCGGUGGAUUUGUGCUGCAACCUGCUGUAGAGACAUAAGUACAAGUUUUAAAGAUUGCAUCAAAGCAGGCUAUGUAAAGCACACACAAAAACGCGCCUAAUCGCAUUCCCGGGAAGCAACCCUUUGAUGUCCCUUCACGGAAAAAAUCAUAGCUCAAGCUAGGAAGCUCUAAAACAUGCAAACGAGAUGGAUAUGGAUUCAUGGGGAACUCAUCUACAAAUAACUCCAACUUUUCAACCUCAGAUUAUGAGGUUACGGGGGUCAAAACCAGCAAAAACAUCUCUGCUGUUUUCAGAUUCAGGAAUAAUGAGUGGCCGCCUUUGGAAAUCCAUAGCAAGACCAAUACUCAUGGGGAGUAAGUAAAUAAAAUUGAUCUAUGAACUAAAAGGUAUCAGGUAGCUAUACAAUUGUAUAGCAUCAAUUUAUCAGCCCUCGAAGAUCCUGAAAAGCUAUGGGCAAAAACCAUAGAAAUGUUGUUUUGCAGAAACAGAGCAGCAACUUGUUUUUAUCGCCCCAGCUAAACGGCUUACCCAAAUUGAGUGAAUGACCACUCAAAACGAUCGUGGGAACAAUACCUACAAAACAUUCCACAUGACCCCCUCCUAAUUUUGCCAUAUAGGAACUCGAAAUUGCUGGUUUCCAGAUCUGAACGCCCAGAAACAGCAGCAUGAACAACUUUUUCCCCAAUUCCUUCACAUAGGUUUCUAGUCCUAACCCUAUACUCCAUGAAUCAUCACUAAUAGAGGGUGAGAGAUCAUAAAUGAUGGGGAACCUCACCUCUAUGGUCAAAUCACAAAGAUUUGGUUAAGGGAAAAGUUGGGGAAGCUUUCUUGUUCUCCCUCUUCUUGUCUCCUUUCCUUCUUCCUCAAAGCCCUAAAUCAAAGGGCAGCCAUGAAGGUGGUGAAGGGCGUGGUGCAGCAAGGAGGCACCUGGGGAGGAGUGGGGAAGGAAGGGAGGAGGGAGUAGGCUGGCUGGAGAAGAGAGGAGAAAGGGAUUCUUCCCUUCGGCUUGGGGAAGAGAAGAAAGAUGUGGAGCACGCCUCCUAUGGACAAGGAGAGCUCACAUUGUGAGGGAGAGGUAAGAGAUAAGGACAAGGAGAGCUCACAUUGUGAGGGAGAGGUAAGAGAUAAGGUUCAGUUUUUUUUUCUAUUUCCUGAAUUAGAGAAUAUUUUGAAAUUCCCUGAUAAUAUAAGCCAUGGUAUUGAAAUAAAUCAUAGGAGAUGAACCCGGAGUCCGACUCAAGGAAAUAGGUAAGGCAUUUCGACUAUCUCGGCGAGC
rnacentral:lncRNA from 1 species